AAGAAAUUAAAGUAAGACUUCUAAUCUUACUUUGGGGGGUUAAAUUCCUUCCUUUCUUC
rnacentral:tRNA from 1 species